AGAUGUACAAAGGAGCAUGUGAAAGUAAAGUAAGUCGGUGUAUUGAGGGAAAUUAUUCCAAAAGUCUGAUUGAAGCUGAGUCUAGGGUUUAAAAGCCUAAAUUUAUCUAUCUUUUACCUACCUCUAGCCUAGCUACGUUACAACCUUUUUAAAGACCUAUUGAUUCAAGUUUUUUAUACUACCUACAUUAGUAGAAAGAAAUUGCUAUGUUCAACAUGUGAAGGCAUAAGUUAAACUUAAUGGUUGCAGCUUAAUCAUGAAUAAGAAAAUAAAAUCAAAUUGGUAAGGGUUAAUAUGUCUUGUUAAGGAAGCAUUUAGUCUAAUUGUGC
rnacentral:lncRNA from 1 species